UACGAAGGGGGCUAGCGUUGCUCGGAAUCACUGGGCGUAAAGCGCACGUAGGCGGCUUUCUAAGUCAGGGGGUGAAAUCCUGGAGCUCAACUCCAGAACUGCCUUUGAUACUGGAGAGCUAGAGUCCGGAAGAGGUGAGUGGAACUGCGAGUGUAGAGGUGAAAAUUCGUAGAUAUUCGGAAGAACACCAGUGGCGAAGGCGGCUCACUGGACUGG
rnacentral:rRNA from 1 species